GACGAACGCUGGCGGCGUGCUUAACACAUGCAAGUCGAACGGAAAGGCCCUGCUUUUGUGGGGUGCUCGAGUGGCGAACGGGUGAGUAACACGUGAGUAACCUGCCCUUGACUUUGGGAUAACUUCAGGAAACUGGGGCUAAUACCGGAUAGGAGCUCCUGCUGCAUGGUGGGGGUUGGAAAGUUUCGGCGGUUGGGGAUGGACUCGCGGCUUAUCAGCUUGUUGGUGGGGUAGUGGCUUACCAAGGCUUUGACGGGUAGCCGGCCUGAGAGGGUGACCGGCCACAUUGGGACUGAGAUACGGCCCAGACUCCUACGGGAGGCAGCAGUGGGGAAUAUUGCACAAUGGGCGGAAGCCUGAUGCAGCAACGCCGCGUGCGGGAUGACGGCCUUCGGGUUGUAAACCGCUUUCGCCUGUGACGAAGCGUGAGUGACGGUAAUGGGUAAAGAAGCACCGGCUAACUACGUGCCAGCAGCCGCGGUGAUACGUAGGGUGCGAGCGUUGUCCGGAUUUAUUGGGCGUAAAGGGCUCGUAGGUGGUUGAUCGCGUCGGAAGUGUAAUCUUGGGGCUUAACCCUGAGCGUGCUUUCGAUACGGGUUGACUUGAGGAAGGUAGGGGAGAAUGGAAUUCCUGGUGGAGCGGUGGAAUGCGCAGAUAUCAGGAGGAACACCAGUGGCGAAGGCGGUUCUCUGGGCCUUUCCUGACGCUGAGGAGCGAAAGCGUGGGGAGCGAACAGGCUUAGAUACCCUGGUAGUCCACGCUGUAAACGGUGGGUACUAGGUGUGGGGUCCAAUCCACGGGUUCCGUGCCGUAGCUAACGCUUUAAGUACCCCGCCUGGGGAGUACGGCCGCAAGGCUAAAACUCAAAGGAAUUGACGGGGCCCCGCACAAGCGGCGGAGCAUGCGGAUUAAUUCGAUGCAACGCGUAGAACCUUACCUGGGUUUGACAUGGAUCGGGAGUGCUCAGAGAUGGGUGUGCCUCUUUUGGGGUCGGUUCACAGGUGGUGCAUGCCUGUCGUCAGCUCGUGUCGUGAGAUGUUGGGUUAAGUCCCGCAACGAGCGCAACCCUUGUUCACUGUUGCCAGCACGUUAUGGUGGGGACUCAGUGGAGACCGCCGGGGUCAACUCGGAGGAAGGUGGGGAUGACGUCAAGUCCUCAUGCCCCUUAUGUCCAGGGCUUCACGCAUGCUACAAUGGCUGGUACAGAGAGUGGCGAGCCUGUGAGGGUGAGCGAAUCUCGGAAAGCCGGUCUCAGUUCGGAUUGGGGUCUGCAACUCGACCUCAUGAAGUCGGAGUCGCUAGUAAUCGCAGAUCAGCAACGCUGCGGUGAAUACGUUCCCGGG
rnacentral:rRNA from 1 species